rnacentral:rRNA from 1 species
AGGUGAAACCGCGAAUGGCUCAUUAAAUCAGUUACGAUUCCUUAGGUCGUACACUAUUACUUGGAUAACUGUGGUAAUUCUAGAGCUAAUACAUGCAGCUGAGCUCCGACCUUUAGGGACGAGCGCUUUUAUUAGAAAAGACCAAUCGGACUCGGUUCGUUUUUAUGGUGACUCUGGAUAACUUUGUGCUGAUCGCGCGGGCUCGUCCCGGCGACGCAUCUUUCAAGUGUCUGCCUUAUCAACUACGACGGUUGGUUAAAUGCCUACCGUGGUUGUAACGGGUGACGGGGAAUCAGGGUUCGAUUCCGGAGAACUAGCAUUAGAUUCGGCUAGUGUUUCUAUGGAAAACAGCAGGCGCGCAAAUUGCCCAAUCGUUGAUUACGGAGGCAGUGACGAAAAAUAACAAUACGGGACUCUUUUGAGACCCCGUAAUUGGAAUGAGUACAAACUAAUCCUUUUAGCGAGGAUCAAUUAGAGCGCAAGCCUAGUGCCAGCCGGCGCGGUAACACUAGUUCUAAUAGCGUAUAUUAAAAUUGUUGCGGUUAAAAAGCUCGUAGUUGGAUCUCAGAUCUAGUAGGACGCUCCGCCUACCGGUGGUUAGCGACUGCACUGAUCAGUCAGUCGGUUUCUCAUCGUGAUCUUAACCGGUUGCUUUGGGUGACCGGCACGUUUACUUUGAAAAAAUUAGAGUGCUCAAAGCAGGCGUGUCGCCUGAAUA